UACGUAGGUCCCGAGCGUUGUCCGGAUUUAUUGGGCGUAAAGCAAGCGCAGGUGGUUUAUUAAGUCUGGUGUAAAAGGCAGUGGCUCAACCAUUGUAUGCAUUGGAAACUGGUAGACUUGAGUGCAGGAGAGGAGAGUGGAAUUCCAUGUGUAGCGGUGAAAUGCGUAGAUAUAUGGAGGAACACCGGUGGCGAAAGCGGCUCUCUGGCCUGUAACUGACGCUGAGGCUCGAAAGCGUGGGGAGCAAACAGG
rnacentral:rRNA from 1 species